rnacentral:rRNA from 1 species
CGAUAGUGUAUAUUAAAGUUGUUGCAGUUAAAAAGCUCGUAGUUGGAUUUCUGGCUGCGUGCGCUUUGUCCGCGUCUCUCCGAGGCGUGUGUACGUUGCGCACGAGUCACACCUUCCAGAGGUCCGGGCCGCUCUUGGUUGAGUCGGCCGUGGCACGUCUGGAUCGUUUACUUUGAGAAAAUUAGAGUGUUCAAGGCAGGCACGAGUUGCCGUGAAUAUGUUAGCAUGGAAUAAUAGGAUAGGACUUUGGUCGUAUUUUGUUGGUUUCUACAGCCGAAGUAAUGAUUGAUAGGGACGGUUGGGGGUGCUAGUAUUCCGCGGCCAGAGGUGAAAUUCAGUGAUUCGCGGAGGACUGACUUAUGCGAAAGCAUUCACCAAGGACGUCUUCUUUAA